GAAAGCGUAGACUUCCAGUUUGUGAAUAAUAUCGGUACCUAUAAAGAAUGUAAUUACCUGCAAGAACUUACGCGAAAAUUAGGGAACAAUUGCGGUUCGAGAAAAUUGAUCGACUACAGCAUGCCGAAAGUGCUCACAUGCCGGCGUCUGCGGUUCUAACAAAACAUGUCAACACGAUCGUUUCCUUCAGGAGAAAAAAAAAUGUGAAAGGGAAAGCGUGUGCGGACUGGCGGGUAUCCUUGAUCGGGCGAACUUUUUCUCCGCUGAAGUUGCACAGUCAACGCGAUCGUCGAAUAUGAUAAGUGUUUUUCUCAUUCAGUAAUUUGCAUAAACAAACGUCAUCAUAUUUGCAAAACUAUUUAAUAUAUUUAUUAAUUUUGUAUAAAAAAAAUAGUCUAGACAAUAAAAUAUGUAUGAAAUAGGAGGAAAAUAAUUUCAUAUGUACAUUAAUUUUAAACUGAUUAGAAAUCUUACUAUCCCACAAGGUUAGGGGGAAGCUUUAAUUUACAACAAUGAUCAGAUUUCAUAAUCAAUUUUUAUGAAAAAAAUUGUAUAAGAAAAUUGAGCCAGACAGUCUUCUCCGCAUUUACAUUGGCUGGAUUCCACGUUUGCGGAGGAGAUGCGCAAUGCUGUAGAUGAACUUUUAUUUUUCCGCUUGCACACCUGGCCGAUGAACGGCGAUCAGGUAGCGUGGCGAGAGAAUGAGCACGUAGGGCACGCGGCUACAAGGGCGAAGUAAGGGAGGCUCGGUCGGGAGGGUGUGUUCGCCGGCGGGCUGGAGAACAGAUACUCGCCGUAGGCGUCGUACGUUCAUUGAUAAGCGUAUAACGCCCCUUAGACCCGAUGACGUCACCAAACGCCUGCGCAGGGUCGCAUCGAGUCCUGAAUCGCAGUGACGUCCAUUGGCGUCGCGACGCGACCGGUUUCUGCGUUUUGUGAGGGAGAAAUAUCCUUUCUCAUAUAAAUUCCAUGUAUUUACUUGUAGGCUUGUAUUUUAUCGAUAUCUCCGAUGAUUAAAAGCAGAAGCUGAUGAAUUGGAGCUAUUGUUUAUUUAAAUAUAUGAUUUACUUAAUGAUAUAACGAUUUUGUAAGAACUAAAAAGUAAAUUUCGUAGACUGUAUGGCAAUGCGAUGAAACUCUCAGUUUAUCAUUAGCUUUAUUAAAAUUAUCGUCAUAUAUUCAAUAGUGUAUUUUUUAAAUAUAUUUUUCGUGAAUCUGAUCAAUUAAGCUGUUUCAGGCCAUCAAUUCAUUACAGAUUAUUAAAGUGGAUGGAGAAUGAUGCUUACAUAUUAUUGAACAAUGAUCAGAAUAAUUAUUCUGCACAUUAUCCAUAAAUAAUCAGAAGACGCACCGUUUUAGGUAAAAUUUCUGACUGACAGGAAGAAUAUUCAGAAUCUUCGAGAAACGAAGUUGGCACGUUCCUGCUGAUUCCACGACGUCGUUUUCGACCGCGAGAGAGACAUUGCCACCCUCACUCGCGGGAGUUUUGGACAGACGUACGUGCGUGCGUGCGUGCGUACAAUGUCGUGUUAAAAUUAGACUACUUCCCCGAAACUUCGCGGAUCCCCACCUCUUCCUGCCUUCGUGACUUUUCGCGAUGGCCGAUGGCUCGUUCGCGCGGAAAAGUUGCACGAGAGGAGAAAGCACGACGGGUCAGAAUGAAACGAAUGGGAGGGAGUCAAGGAACAGAGCUAGAUAAAUGAAAUAAAUGUGGGCGGUGGAAAUGAGGAGGCGGAGGAGGAAGAGGCGAGAAGCAGUGGAGGGCUGAUGGCGGGAGAAAACGGCGACAGGUAAAAAA